UGAGGAAUUUUCCGCAAUGGGCGAAAGCCUGACGGAGCAAUACCGCGUGAGGGAGGAAGGUUCUUGGAUUGUAAACCUCUUUUCUCAGAGAAGAAUAAUGACGGUAUCUGAGGAAUAAGCAUCGGCUAACUCCGUGCCAGCAGCCGCGGUAAUACGGAGGAUGCAAGCGUUAUCCGGAAUGAUUGGGCGUAAAGGGUCUGUAGGUGGUUGUUCAAGUCUGCUGUUAAAGCGUCUGGCUUAACCAGAUAAAGGCGGUGGAAACUGAACGACUAGAGUGCGGUAGGGGUAGAGGGAAUUCCCAGUGUAGCGGUGAAAUGCGUAGAUCUUGGGAAGAACACCUGUGGCGAAAGCGCUCUACUGGACCGCGACUGACACUGAUGGACGAAAGCUAGGGGAGCGAAUGGGAUUAGAUACCCCAGUAGUCCUAGCCGUAAACGAUGGAUACUAGGCGUUGCCCGUAUCGACCCGGGCAGUGUCGUAGCUAACGCGUUAAGUAUCCCGCCUGGGGAGUACGCACGCAA
rnacentral:rRNA from 1 species